rnacentral:rRNA from 1 species
GACGAACGCUGGCGGCGUGCUUAACACAUGCAAGUCGAACGGAAAGGCCCUGCUUUUGUGGGGUGCUCGAGUGGCGAACGGGUGAGUAACACGUGAGUAACCUGCCCUUGACUUUGGGAUAACUUCAGGAAACUGGGGCUAAUACCGGAUAGGAGCUCCUGCUGCAUGGUGGGGGUUGGAAAGUCUCGGCGGGUGGGGAUGGACUCGCGGCUUAUCAGCUUGUUGGUGGGGUAGUGGCAUACCAAGGCUGUGACGGGUAGGCGGCCUGGGAGGGUGACCGGCCACAUUGGUACUGCGGGACGGCCCAGUCUGCUACGGGAGGCAGCAGUGGGAAAUAUUGCACAAUGGGCCGAAGCCUGAUGCAGCGACGCCGCGUGUGUAAUGACGGCCUUCUGGGUGUAAACCGCUUUCGCCUGUGACGAAGCGGGAGUGACGGUAAUGGGUAAAGAAGCACCGGCUAACUACGUG